rnacentral:lncRNA from 1 species
AGUGUGAAAUGGCAGCAGGAACCGCAGUGCUCUGCCAGCUUCCCUCGGCUCCGCUUUGGAUUAAAGCAACCAGAACUGCAGUCAGAGCAGCACAGUGCUCGAGAUACUGUGACAGUCCCCUGGAGGUGUCUGCCUUGCUCUGCAAGCAAGUCUCUUGCCUGAAACUCAAUACGUGCCUCCUCAAAGCUGGAGUUCCAGUGCAGCCGUCAUGUGAGCAGUAACUAGAUGCUGGGAGAACUUCACCUGAAUGUCAUCCGAUUGCUGCACUGACCCAUUGCUUAAACCUGCAUUUAGUCCCACAUUGAUGAUACAAUGAAAUUUGGUCCUUCCAGGGACAGAUACUUCCAUUCUUCUGAGAGUAGAAUUGAAAGUAGUUCCUUGGCCCAUUGCUUUAGUCAAGUUGAUGCCCUCUGCAUUCAUUGCCCAAAAUGUAAAUGGUGCAGGAAUUCUGAAUUAAAGCUUACGACGGAGGAUUCAAACUGUUUGCAUGUUCUUGUUCGCACACCAAUAGUGAUAAUUCACAGUAGAGGCUGGGAUUUGAACAUUCAAAAUAUUUUUCAUUUCUUAUGUGGCAAAUUUGGCAAAGGCAUUCUACCUCAUGUGUGGUCUGCACUCCAAAUGGAAGACUGAAAUUUGGAAGACAAAAAGGAAGCCAAAGAUGUCUUGAAGCGCUAUAGGCCUCCAGAAAAGCAGACGCAAAAUACAUCCUAACUUGUAGUUUGGAUAAUUAUGAAUAGGACUCUCUAAUAAUUGAGAACAGAAUGAGCCAUCUACCAGGCUGAGAAGUUGUAUGAAAUGAUUAAAAGAAAAUGCAUUCAGUGGGUAUUGCUCAAGCUUGGGAAAAUUCAUUUGGGAAGACAUUGGAGUUGCAAAAAAUCCUUCAGACUGAAAGGCAGGGGGGAAAAAAAAAGGCAACAAAAUGAUCUACUGUCCUGUUGUAAAGUGCAGAGUAAUCUCACAGUAAAGUCCAAGGAUGGUGUCAAUGACGUAAAACUUUAUUGUGAUUUGUAACUGCAAUAGUCUGCCUAUGUGCUCUGCUUGAAAGGAAAAAACGAAAGAGAAAGUCACGUUGCACAGAGGUAUGAAUUUACAGAAUCAAGUAGAGAUGUACCAGCCUUAGCCUGGAGCUGAAUCAGGUUCGGCAUCACACAGUGUUUUAAAAACUCCUAGGGGCAAACAGAGAAGGAGCACCCAACUGUGUGUUGUGUUAUACACAGCCAGUUUGGAUAAAUUAAAAAUAUACUGAAGCCUUUCUCUUCUUGUAAUGCUUUUUCAAAUGAUGUUUCUAAAUAGAACUUUUAAAAGAAUGUUUCCACUCGUGUUGAUAAGCUGUAGUUGAGACGCAUAAUUUGAGAAGAAAUAUGAAUGUAGAUUAGUCUAAAUAUUGAUUUAUUUUUACCAAAUAUAUUCUAAUACAU